rnacentral:pre_miRNA from 1 species
UCUCUGAUCACAUUUGUAGGGUUUUUUUCACAUGAAAGCAGACAGGUGAGAAACCUUACAGGUGUCUUUAGUGU